GUGGUUCGUUCUGUGAUAGCCAGUGUGGUUGUCGCGGCUCUUCCUGGCUGAGACUUUGCACUCAGUGUAAUUACCCACAGACUGAACAGCUUCAGCGAACCCGGACCAGCCCCAGCGCUCCCGACCUUCCAUCAGACCUGCAGCUGCGGAACGGCUCUCGGCGCCUACGGGCCUUGUUCUCGGCCGCACCAUGCGGUGCUUCCCAUGGGGGCUGUGGGCCAUGCUCUCGAUCUCUGCGAUCCAGGCCGCCCUGGCCAGUGCCCAAGGUGCUGAGAGAGGAGGGGGCUCCAGUGAAGAGUAUGUGACAAACCCGGCACCACCUUUGGUCUACGUCAGUGCUGUGGUUGUCAUAGCCGUGGCAGUGGCGAUCUGUAC